AUGUGAUAAACAGUAAUGUAUACAUACCAAUGCACAUAUACAUAAACACAAAUGCAUAUUUAUAUACAUUUAUACACCGUAAAUUACAGAAUGGAAUUGGAAUGGAUGGAAAUGGAACAGUGAGAGUUUUCUUUCUGAAUAUCAUGUAAUUAGUCUUGUCUAAAUUUAUUGAUGAUUUAUUAAGUUUAAACCAGGUUUGUAUUUUAGAAAAUUCUAUCUGCAUCCUUACCAACUGUAGAGGUUAUUCCUCUACUGCUCUUCCUCCAGCUGCUGUCACUAUUUACUUCCACAGGUGUGUCCAAUCAGAAGCCUGAAGAUCACUGCAUUAAAGCUGCUCACCAGGACCGCGCUGGAACAAAAGAGUUACUGGUAGAACCACUCACCUGUUCGUUGUCCUUGCCUCCGCUCCUUGUGGUGACCUGGCUCUGCAUCAAAACUCCUGUGAAGAAGGUCUCUGGUCUCUGGCUCCUGGUCCCUGGUAAACACUCCUCAUAUCCUGUGCCACAGAAUCACUGUAAAUAUCUACACGGCACCUGUAAAUAUCACGCUGGAUGUAAAUACCUGGAUCCAAGCGCUCCUCCUCGCACCAAGUCAUCACAGAUGUUCCUGAAACCCGUACCCACUUCCCCGUUCAUUGCUUUACAAAUAAAUUUGUUAAACGUG